AUAUGGUUAAGCUAUUAAGAGCACACGGAGGAUGCCUAGGCGCUAGGAGCCGAUGAAGGACGUGGCGAACAACGAUACUGCCUCGGGGAGCUGUACGCAAGCUUUGAUCCGGGGAUGUCCGAAUGGGGAAACCCAGCUAUCGUAAUGGAUAGUUAUCUCCACCUGAAUACAUAGGGUGGUUGAAGGCAGACCAGGGGAACUGAAACAUCUAAGUACCCUGAGGAAGAGAAAACAAUAGUGAUUCCGUCAGUAGCGGCGAGCGAACGCGGAUUAGCCCAAACCAAUCAGCUUGCUGGUUGGGGUUGUGGGACGUCUCACAUGGAGUUACAAAGGAACCGAUUAGUUGAAGAGGUCUGGAAAGGCCCGCCAGAGAAGGUAAAAGCCCUGUAGUCAAAAGUCUGUUC
rnacentral:rRNA from 1 species